rnacentral:tRNA from 1 species
CUCUCCCUCUCUGUGUUUCUGUGCACAGGCACGAAGGCGCUUAGGCGCUUAGGCGCGGAGUGCAUCGACUGAGCAGAGAGGGAGGAGUGUAUGGGAUGGCAAAGUGAGAGAUGUGCACAGGUGAGUGUGUAGGUUGGAGGGCGCGGGACAGUGGUGCUGUGGCACACUGAAGACACAGAUAGGAGAAGUGAAGCGGUGUUUGGCAGCACUGUAGAGUUGACCCACUGGAGUGUCCUGUGAUUGAUUGUCCCUGUGCGGCCCAGGGUGGGCGAAGGGAAGGUGCGCGUGAGGACCAAAAGGGACUGGACUCUGCAUGGGCCGGGAAUCGAACCCGGACCUCCCGCGUGGCAGGCGAGAAUUCUACCACUGAACCACCCAUGC